UUUCCUGGGAGCUGAUUUCCCAACAGAGUCUUGUUGGAUCACUCCUAAACAUUCAUUCCAGGCAACACAGCUUGCAGUGCCUCUGCUUCACAGCACAGUUUAUUGCUGAAGCUGCUUUCUGCCUCUGUGAGCCACUGGGCUGGUGGCUCUGCAUCUGCUCAUGAGCUUGUCAAGCCUCCCACCAGCCCAAAACCUUUCUUUUUUGUUUCUUUAGAUGACAAUGAUGCCGAGUCUGGGAAGCAAGAAUCCGAUGAGCCAGACACGACGGACAGCGAGGAGAAGUAUGAAGAUGAGGUCCUACAAGAAUCUGAGGCUGACGGGAAAUACUUCUGCACCAAAGACAAAGUUCAUGUUCAGCAAAGGAAGAGAAAAAGAGGACAGGAUCCCUGGAUGAAAGGUAGGGAGGAGAAGUCCCUUGGGGCAUCAGCUCAAGGCUACAACUUCUGCUGCUUCCAGAGGGACUCCUGUGAGAAAUUCCUGAGGCCAGGGGACAGGAGGCUUCUCCUCCAUGCUCCUCUGAGCCACGUUUUGGCAGCACUCAUAAUCUCCAGCCAGAGGAGCCCCUGCUAAUGGUUAGCCAGGACAGCCUGGGCAGGGUUCCCAGGAGAGCACCCCAAGCACCUAAACUAACAAAGCUUAAUCCCUUGUGUUUGCUUAUCUGGUCAGGGAGGGGGUGACUGGGGAAGGCCAGAUUCCCAGGGCUGAGUUAUUGACAUGCAGAGAAAGGUUUCUGCCAAAAAACAGAUCUCUGUUGAUCUGCCAGUGUGGCUGUGGAGGUUUCCCUGCUGACAGAGGAAUGUGUUGUACCCACGUUUCCUACAGGUGAAUAAGAAGAAAACUGCUCCUGAUAAGGGCAAGGAUAAGGGAGUUUGUCUGUCAGGCCUUAAAAAAUGCUCUGUCAGAAAACCCUGCUGCUCACCUCCUGUGUACUGGUGGUAAAAACAGGGAAGUGUUGGCCCAACCAUAAAUGCAGAGAGGGCCGUUGCUUAAACUUGAAGGGAGCUUGUUUAACAGCCUGGCCUUCAGAGGGCCCUGCUCACUCAGGGGACUCCACCAGAGCUGGGUGACAAGAGGAUCUGCUGUACAAAACCAGCCGCUUGGGGCAAUGGGGAGAAGCUGUCCUGUGCAGCCCAGGGCAGACACGUGUGACCCUCCAAGACUGGAUGGGGAUGUCCCAAGUGAGGGGUGGGUGCAGCUCUGCCAGGAAUGGGGUGAUGGAAGGGCGUAGCACCUCUCUCAAAAUCUAGUAUGGGCCAUGAACCACACUGGAACGGGAAGAAAUCCACAGAAUGCAUCUUGCUGCUCUGGGUACCCUCCCAGGGACGCUUCUGCAUCAGGUCAGCUCUCUGCCUAUUUCUGCUCCGCGUGUUUUGUGUCCAGGAUCACAACAGUCUCCCCUGGAUACCCACACAUCUCACAUGUGAGGGGUUUCUCUCUUCAUCUUUCCUUUGCUGAGCUUUGCUUCCCCCUGCGCUGUCCCUAUUUUGGGAUGAGGCCAUGCUGACUUCAGAAGUGUAAAUCCAUUUCUCUGUGGUUAACUCCUGCUGUCAUCUGGCUGUUUACAGGAUCU
ensembl:lncRNA